rnacentral:rRNA from 1 species
CCUACGGGUCGCACCAGUGGGGAAUAUUGCACAAUGGGCGCAAGCCUGAUGCAGCCAUGCCGCGUGUAUGAAGAAGGCCUUCGGGUUGUAAAGUACUUUCAGCGAGGAGGAAGGCAUUAAGGUUAAUAACCUUGGUGAUUGACGUUACUCGCAGAAGAAGCACCGGCUAACUCCGUGCCAGCAGCCGCGGUAAUACGGAGGGUGCAAGCGUUAAUCGGAAUUACCGGGCGUAAAGCGCACGCAGGCGGUCUGUCAAGUCGGAUGUGAAAUCCCCGGGCUCAACCUGGGAACUGCAUUCGAAACUGGCAGGCUAGAGUCUUGUAGAGGGGGGUAGAAUUCCAGGUGUAGCGGUGAAAUGCGUAGAGAUCUGGAGGAAUACCGGUGGCGAAGGUGGCCCCCUGGACAAAGACUGACGCUCAGGUGCGAAAGCGUGGGAGCAAGCAGGAUUAGAUACCCUAGUAGUC